rnacentral:pre_miRNA from 1 species
UUGUCUCUUGGAGUUCCUCUGAGUGCUUCAUAUACGAGAAAUCAUCUAUAAGAUAAGAUAGUUUCUUCAUUUAUGAAGUGUUUGGGGGAACUCUUGGAUUCAA